GGAAGUUACUGCCUUGCUCUCUGGACCUCCUGUCUCUUUUCUCUGAAUCUUCAUUCCCUCCUGUUCCUCUGUCUCUGACCCUGUCUCCAUGUCUGUCUCUUCCACUGCCUGGCUCCUUCCUCUUCUUCACUUGCUUCUGACAGUCAGGGUUUCUGCCUCGCCCCGUCUUUCUCUCUGUCCCUCCACGUCUUUGUUUUUCUCAUCUCCGCUUCUCUCUCCCUCCGUGUCCAGGUCUCUUCCUGUCCAUCCAUCUCUCAGCCUCAGCCUAGCUCGGUCCUCCACUCUGAUUCUCUCCCAUCCAUCUCCCUGGGCCUGACAGAGGCUCUUUGUCGAGUCUCUUCCUCUGUCUGCCCCCAUCCGUUGUUUUCUCUGUAUGUCGCUGGCUGCGCAUGUGCCACUGUUUCUAUCAUUUUCUCUCCAUCUAGCCAUUGAUCUCUGAUUCCCCUGCUCCGCUUCUCUGUCUCUCAUCCCUGUCACCACCUCCCUCUCUGUCACUUUCUUAUUCUCUCCCUGCCUCUUUGCACGCUCUUUGCACAUCAGGCCCGGCCCCAGCCCAGGGUCUCUGGGCUCCAGGAAGCCAGCCAGGGGCUGUGCGGGCUGCGCUGUAACUCAGGAACUCCGCCAGCAAUCAUUUCAUUAGAUAUCCCCCUGGGGCACCGGCCUAGAACAGAGCAACAAAUAUUUACUAAUUCCAUUAACAGAAGAGAGUUGGAAUUUUUUUUUCCCAAGCGAAUAUCCGAGGCCCCAAGUUCAUGUAGCCACCCAAAGUUACACUUUGGUUCACCAAGACGAAGACUCAUCCUUCCUCUCUCUAUGGAUCUUUCAGAUGAAGAAAUUAAGGCUCAGGAGGGAGGAAAAAAAUAAAAGAAAGAAUUGUCCAAGGUCACCAAGGCAUCUGGACUCCCAUAUGUUGAGCUACUUCUGCUUGUGGGGCAGCUGCAAUACAUGAAUUCUUCACUACAGGACUCAUUCUUGGAGCCCAGUCUCCAUACUGUGAGGAAGCCCAAAAGGCACACACUAACAGAACACGUGGAAAAGCUUCAGCCUCGUGUAGAUGUUCUGGUCAACAUCCCAGUUGAUGUCACAGCCAACAGCCUGCAUCAAGUGCCUGACACGUGAGUGAUGACACCUCCAGAUGAUUCCAGCCCCUAGCCAUUGGAUCACCCCCAGCUGUCAAAUCUUCCAGCUGAGGCCCCAGACAUUGUGGGGCAGAGACAAGCUGUUCCCAUUGUGCCCCAUCCAAAUUCCUGACCCACAGAAUGAAUGAGCA
rnacentral:lncRNA from 10 species